UACAGAGGUCCCAAGCGUUUGUUCGGAUUCACUGGGCGUAAAGGGUGCGUAGGCGGUCGGGUAAGUCUGAUGUGAAAUCUCCGGGCUCAACCCGGAAAUGGCAUUGGAUACUAUUCGGCUCGAGGUCUGGAGGGGGGACUGGAAUACUUGGUGUAGCAGUGAAAUGCGUAGAUAUCAAGUGGAACACCAGUGGCGAAGGCGAGUCCCUGGACAGAUCCUGACGCUGAGGCACGAAAGCUAGGGGAGCAAACAGG
rnacentral:rRNA from 1 species